UACUGCUAUCGGGGUCCGACUAAGCCAUGCGAGUUGAAUGUCCGAAAGGGCAUAGCGCACUGCUCAGUAACACGUGGACAACCUGCCCUGAGGACUGGAAUAAUCCCGGGAAACUGGGGGUAAUUCCAGAUAUGUCAGAACUCCUGGAAUGGGUUCUGGCAGAAAGGCUCCGGCGCCUCAGGAUGGGUCUGCGGCCUAUCAGGGUAGUAGUGGGUGUAACGUACCUACUAGCCUACGACGGGUACGGGUUGUGAGAGCAAGAGCCCGGAGAUGGAUUCUGAGACAUGAAUCCAGGCCCUACGGGGUGCAGCAGGCGCGAAAACUUUACAAUGCGGGCAACCGCGAUAAGGGGACCUCGAGUGCUGGGUUACAAACCUGGCUGUUGGGCUGCCUAAAAAGCAGUCUAUAGCAAGGGCCGGGCAAGACCGGUGCCAGCCGCCGCGGUAACACCGGCGGCUCGAGUGGUAACCGCUAUUAUUGGGUCUAAAGGGUCUGUAGCCGGCCGACUAAGUCUCUUGGGAAAUCUGGCAUCUCAAGUGUCAGGCUGCCAGGGGAUACUGGUCGGCUUGGGACCGGGAGAGGUGAGAGGUACCUC
rnacentral:rRNA from 1 species